rnacentral:rRNA from 1 species
AAAUUGAAGAGUUUGAUCAUGGCUCAGAUUGAACGCUGGCGGCAGGCCUAACACAUGCAAGUCGAGCGGAAACGAGUUAUCUGAACCUUCGGGGRACGAUAACGGCGUCGAGCGGCGGACGGGUGAGUAAUGCCUAGGAAAUUGCCCUGAUGUGGGGGAUAACCAUUGGAAACGAUGGCUAAUACCGCAUGAUGCCUACGGGCCAAAGAGGGGGACCUUCGGGCCUCU